rnacentral:rRNA from 1 species
UACGUAGGGGGCAAGCGUUGUCCGGAUUUAUUGGGCGUAAAGCGUGCGUAGGUGGUUUGUUAAGUCUGAUGUGAAAGCCCUGGGCUCAACCUGGGAAUUGCAUUGGAUACUGGCAGGCUAGAGUGCGGUAGAGGAUGGCGGAAUUCCCGGUGUAGCAGUGAAAUGCGUAGAGAUCGGGAGGAACAUCUGUGGCGAAGGCGGCCAUCUGGACCAGCACUGACACUGAGGCACGAAAGCGUGGGGAGCAAACAGG